UUUUGUGGCGUGUAUGACCGGCACUCUGCGGCAGAUGGACGACUAUCACUACACUCACCUCAUCAGCACCUUUGGGAAGAUGCGCACAGAUGUGGUGGAUUUCCUCAUGGAGACGUUUAUCAUGUUUAAGGAUCUGAUUGGGAAGAACGUGUAUCCUGCCGACUGGGUCAUAAUGAACAUGAUGCAGAAUAACGCUGGAGCAACAUCAGAAAUGUGCAUCGUGUAGAGGGAGCAUCGCUUACAUUAACUCUCUCUCCCUUCAACACAUGCUGCUGUUGCUUAGAAACAGCAGUCAGAAAUGGCCAAGAAUGUGUUUGCGAAUCUUUUUUUUUUCCCCAUCAGUGCAACAUCAGUUAGUGUGUGUGUCGGGCAUGUAGCGUUUCUGUGUGCACCUGCGUGAAUUCGCUCUGUUCUCGCUCUAUCAGAAGUGUG